CCUACGGGUGGCAGCAGUGGGGAAUAUUGCGCAAUGGGGGGAACCCUGAUGCAGCGACGCCGCGUGGGUGAAGAAGCGCCUCGGCGCGUAAAGCCCUGUCAGCAGGGAAGAAAAUGACGGUACCUGAAGAAGAAGCCCCGGCUAACUACGUGCCAGCAGCCGCGGGAAUACGUAGGGGGCAAGCGUUAUCCGGAUUUACUGGGUGUAAAGGGGGCGCAGACGGCGAUGCAAGCCAGGAGUGAAAGCCCGGGGCCCAACCCCGGGACUGCUCUUGGAACUGCGUGGCUGGAGUGCAGGAGGGGCAGGCGGAAUUCCUGGUGUAGCGGUGAAAUGCGUAGAUAUCAGGAGGAACACCGGUGGCGAAGGCGGCCUGCUGGACUGCAACUGACGUUGAGGCCCGAAAGCGUGGGGAGCAAACAGGAUUAGAUACCCCAGUAGUC
rnacentral:rRNA from 1 species